rnacentral:rRNA from 1 species
GACGAACGCUGGCGGCGUGCUUAACACAUGCAAGUCGAACGGAAAGGCCCUGCUUUUGUGGGGUGCUCGAGUGGCGAAGGGGUGAGUAACACGUGAGUAACCUGCCCUUGACUUUGGGAUAACUUCAGGAAACUGGGGCUAAUACCGGAUAGGAGCUCCUGCUGCAUGGUGGGGGUUGGAAAGUUUCGGCGGUUGGGGAUGGACUCGCGGCUUAUCAGCUUGUUGGUGGGGUAGUGGCUUACCAAGGGUUUGACGGGUAGCCGGCCUGAGAGGGUGGACGGGCACAUGGGGACUGAGGUACGGCCCAGACUCCAACGGGGGGCAGCAGUGGGGAAUAUUGCACAAUGGGCGGAAGUCUGAUGCGGCAACGCCGCGUGCGGGAUGACGGCCUGCGGGUUGUAAACCGCUUUCGCCUGUGACGAAGCGUGAGUGACGGUAAUGGGUAAAGAAGCACCGGCUAACUACGUG